rnacentral:rRNA from 1 species
AGAGUUUGAUCCUGGCUCAGAAUGAACGCUGGCGGCGUGCAUAACACAUGCAAGUCGAACGAGAAACUCCGGGCUUGCUCGGAGGAGUAAAGUGGCGCACGGGUGAGUAACGCGUGGGUAACCUACCCUUGAAUCUGGAAUAACUCGCCGAAAGGCGGACUAAUACCGGAUAUCGUUCCGGAGGCGCAUGUCUUCGGUAUGAAAGGUGACCUCUUCAUGAAAGUUGCCGUUCGGGGACGGGCUCGCGUACCAUUAGCUAGUUGGUAGGGUAAUGGCCUACCAAGGCGACGAUGGUUAGCUGGUCUGAGAGGAUGAUCAGCCACACUGGAACUGGAACACGGUCCAGACUCCUACGGGAGGCAGCAGUGAGGAAUUUUGCGCAAUAGGGGAAACCCUGACGCAGCAACGCCGCGUGAGUGAAGAAGGCCUUCGGGUCGUAAAGCUCUGUCAAGUGGGAAAAAAGUCAACCGGUGAAUAGCCGGUUGGCCUGAUGGUACCACUAGAGGAAGCACCGGCUAACUCCGUGCCAGCAGCCGCGGUAAUACGGAGGGUGCAAGCGUUGUUCGGAAUUACUGGGCGUAAAGCGCGUGUAGGCGGUUUGGUAAGUCAGAUGUGAAAGCCCUGGGCUUAACCCAGGAAGUGCAUUUGAAACUGCCUUACUCGAGUAUGGGAGAGGAGAGUGGAAUUCCCAGUGUAGAGGUGAAAUUCGUAGAUAUUGGGAGGAACACCCGUGGCGAAGGCGACUCUCUGGACCAAUACUGACGCUGAGACGCGAAAGCGUGGGGAGCAAACAGGAUUAGAUACCCUGGUAGUCCACGCCGUAAACGAUGAGAACUAGGUGUAGCGGGUAUUGACCCCUGCUGUGCCGUAGCUAACGCAUUAAGUUCUCCGCCUGGGGAGUACGGCCGCAAGGCUAAAACUCAAAGGAAUUG